CCUCUUUCAGCACGGAAGAAGCGAAAGUGACGGUACGUGCAGAAGAAGCGCCGGCUAACUACGUGCCAGCAGCCGCGGUAAUACGUAGGGCGCAAGCGUUGUCCGGAAUUAUUGGGCGUAAAGAGCUCGUAGGCGGUUUGUCGCGUCUGCUGUGAAAGCCCGGGGCUUAACCCCGGGUGUGCAGUGGGUACGGGCAGACUUGAGUGCAGUAGGGGAGACUGGAACUCCUGGUGUAGCGGUGAAAUGCGCAGAUAUCAGGAAGAACACCGAUGGCGAAGGCAGGUCUCUGGGCUGUUACUGACGCURAGGAGCGAAAGCAUGGGGAGCGAACAGGAUUAGAUACCCUGGUAGUCCAUGCCGUAAACGUUGGGCACUAGGUGUGGGGGACAUUCCACGUUUUCCGCGCCGUAGCUAACGCAUUARGKGSCCCGCCUGGGGAGUACGGCCGCAAGGCUAAAACUCAAAGGAA
rnacentral:rRNA from 1 species